UCGUGUGUACAUCAUUGGGAAUGGAGGGAAAUAAAUGACUGGAUGGUCGCUGCUUUUUAAGUUUCAAAUUGACAUUCCAGACAAGCGGUGCCUGAGCCCGUGCCUGUCUUCAGAUCUUCACAGCACAGUUCCUGGGAAGGUGGAGCCACCAGCCUCUCCCUGACAAGCAAAGUGGAUCAGCAAAGGCUGCAGUCACCAGCAUCUUUUCCAACCUUAAUGAACUGUAUCCUCAAAAGAACACUAUCAGACUGGCUCUGCCGACUUCCAGUUCUGGAACAAGAUGGUUAAACUCAUUUUUCCCUGCUCUGCUCCUCUAAAUACAACUAAGUACCUUGGAAACUAUUCAGCAGACAAUGAUAAAGGGCUCUGAAAGCUAGAAGAAAAGGUGUACUUGCAAGAAACCUCAGGACUUGAGUAACAGCAACAUGAGCCCUCCUUGAUGUGAGCACAAGGGACCUCCAUGCUCCUACUUCUGCUGGUCUCCAUUUCACCAGGCGCCUCCCUCCGACUUCCAAUUGGCCACAAGCUUCGUCGCUCUCUCUCAAAGCAAUUUUGUGUGUGAGUAUAGUCAGAAG
rnacentral:lncRNA from 1 species